GUGGCAGCUUACAGAAGCAUCUAGUUACCCACUCUGGAAUUAAGGCAUACAGCUGUGACAUCUGUGGAAAAACUUUCAGCCAGAGAGGGCACCGAAAUACACACCUACGCAUUCACACCAGACAUGAUGUGUACUGCUGUGAACAGUGUGCCAAAUACUUUGCUACAGACGCACAGUUACAACAACACAUGUUUACCCACACUGAGGAGAGACCUUAUAAAUGUGACCUGUGUGAGAAGACUUUUAAAUCUCCACAUCACCUGAGACAACACCAACAGAUCCACACCAGAAAGAGACUCUACAAGUGCAGUUACUGUGAGAAGCAGAGCGACACAGAUGGAUCCAGUUCUCAACCCUGUCAUCACUGUGGUGGUGGGAAAGACUUUCGUUGUGACCUCUGUGGAAAAACUUUCAGUCAGCAAAAGAACCUAAAAAUACAUCAACGUAAACACACUGGAGACAAACUGAAAUACUGCAAAGAAUGUGGGAGAAGCUUCACCACAUCAAGUUACUUAAAACAACAUGAACUGAUUCACAGUGGGGUUAAAAAGCACCUCUGUGAUCAGUGUGGGUCAUCCUUCACCACUGUAAGUGAGCUUAAAAGACACAAACGAGUCCACACAGGAGAGAAACCAUACAAGUGCAGACACUGUGAGAGAAGCUUCUCACAUUCAACUACUUGUAACAGGCAUGAACGUGCACACAUGGAAGGAAACUACAGCUGUGACCAGUGUGACAAGAGCUUCAGGAAUCUCAGUUCAUACUCCGAACACAAACGAUCCCACGUUACUAAUAAACUGUUUCACUGUUACCAA